rnacentral:rRNA from 1 species
GACGAACGCUGGCGGCGUGCUUAACACAUGCAAGUCGAACGGAAAGGCCCUGCUUGCAGGGUGCUCGAGUGGCGAACGGGUGAGUAACACGUGGGUGAUCUGCCCCUUACUUUGGGAUAAGCCUGGGAAACUGGGUCUAAUACUGGAUAGGACCAUGCUGUAGGUGGUGUGGUGGAAAGAUUAGUUUCGGUAAGGGAUGAGCUCGUGGCCUAUCAGCUUGUUGGUGGGGUAAUGGCCUACCAAGGCGUCGACGGGUAGCCGGCCUGAGAGGGUGGACGGCCACAUUGGGACUGAGAUACGGCCCAGACUCCUACGGGAGGCAGCAGUGGGGAAUAUUGCACAAUGGGCGCAAGCCUGAUGCAGCGACGCCGCGUGGGGGAUGACGGCCUUCGGGUUGUAAACUCCUUUCAGCCAUGACGAAGCCCUUGUGGUGACGGUAGUGGUAGAAGAAGCACCGGCUAACUACGU